CCAAUAGCGUAUAUUGAAGUUGUUGCAGUUAAAAAGCUCGUAGUUGAAUUUUAGGCCUGACCGGACGGUCCGUCUCUGGCGAGUACUGUUCUGCUGUCGGGUCUAUCCUUCUGGUGAGCCGGUAUGCCCUUUAUUGGGUGUGUCGGGGAACCAGGACCAUUACCUUGAAAAAAUUAGAGGGUUUAAAGCGGGCUUUUGCUUGAAUAGAUUAGUAUGGAAUAAUAGAAUAGGACGUUGGUUCUAUUUUGUUGGUCUAGGACCACCGUAAUGAUUAAUAGGGAUAGUUGGGGGCAUUAGUAUUCAAUUGUCAGAGGUGAAAUUCUUGGAUUUAUUGAAGACUAACUACUGCGAAAGCAUUUGCCAAGGACGUUUUCAUUAAUCAAGAACGAAAGUUAGGGGAUCGAAGACGAUCAGAUACCGUCGUAGUCUUAACCAUAAACUAUGCCGACUAGGAAUCGGGCGACGUUAUUUUCAUGACUCGCUCGGCGCCUUAUG
rnacentral:rRNA from 1 species